AGAGUUUGAUCCUGGCUCAGGAUGAACGCUAGCGGGAGGCCUAACACAUGCAAGUCGAACGGGAUUGAGAGCUUGCUCUCAUGAGAGUGGCGCACGGGUGAGUAACGCGUAUGCAACCUACCUAUAACUGAGGGAUAGCCCAUAGAAAUGUGGAUUAAUACCUCAUAGUUCUUUUGUUCCGCAUGGGAUGAAAGAUAAAGCUCCGGCGGUUAUAGAUGGGCAUGCGUGACAUUAGCUAGUUGGUAAGGUAACGGCUUACCAAGGCUACGAUGUCUAGGGGUUCUGAGAGGAUGAUCCCCCACACUGGUACUGAGACACGGACCAGACUCCUACGGGAGGCAGCAGUGAGGAAUAUUGGUCAAUGGGCGCAAGCCUGAACCAGCCAUCCCGCGUGCAGGAUGAAGGCCCUAUGGGUCGUAAACUGCUUUUAUACACCAAGAAAAAC
rnacentral:rRNA from 1 species